rnacentral:rRNA from 1 species
UACGUAGGGUGCGAGCGUUAAUCGGAUUUACUGGGCGUAAAGCGUUCGCAGGCGGCCCGUUAAGACAGGUGUGAAAUCCCUGGGCUCAACCUAGGAAUUGCGCUUGUGACUGGCGGGCUCGAGUACGGUAGAGGGGGGUGGAAUUCCUGGUGUAGCAGUGAAAUGCGUAGAGAUCAGGAGGAACACCGAUGGCGAAGGCAGCCCCCUGGGCCUGUACUGACGCUCAUGCACGAAAGCGUGGGGAGCAAACAGG